GAAAAGUUAGUUUAUUAAAACAUUAAUUUGUCAAAUUAAAAAUAUUAUUAUUAAUACUUUUCU
rnacentral:tRNA from 1 species